rnacentral:rRNA from 1 species
GACGAACGCUGGCGGCGUGCCUAAUACAUGCAAGUAGAACGCAGUUGCGAACGGGUGAGUAACGCGUAGGUAACCUGCCUCAUAGCGGGGGAUAACCAUUGGAAACGAUAGCUAAUACCGCAUACUGUGAGCUGGACCUGCGUUGUUUUAGCUAGUUGGUGAGGUAAAGGGUCACCAAGGCGGCGAUACAAAGCCGACCUGAGGGGGAGAUGGGCAACACAGGGACUGGAACAAGGCCCAGACUGCAUCGAGAAGCAGCAGUAGGGAAUCUUCGGCAAAGGGCGGAAGACUGGCCGGGCAAAGCCGGGGUAGUGGAAAAGGUUUUCGGAUCGUAAAGCUCUGUUGUGAGGGAAGCGGUAGCUAACCAAGAAGGGACGGCUAACUACGUGCCAGCAGCCGCGGUAAUUC